GACGAACGCUGGCGGCGUGCUUAACACAUGCAAGUCGAGCGGAGCGGCGAACGGGUGAGUCACGCGUGAGUAACUGCCCCCCUCUCUGGGAUAACAGUUGGAAACGGCUGCUAAUACCGGAUAGUGGGGGAUGACUCGCGUCCUAUCAGCUUGUUGGUGGGGUAGUGGCAUACCAAGGCGACGACGGGUAGCCGGCCUGAAAGGGCGACCGGCCACAUUGGGCUGGGAGACUGACCAAACUCCGACGGGGGGCAGCAGUGGGGAAUAUUGAACAAUGUGGAAAACCCUGAUGCAGAAACGCCGCGUGCGGGAUGACGGGAUGCGAGUUGUAGACCGCUUUCUACCAUGACGCGUUAGUGGCAGAAGGAGCACCGGCUAGCUACAUGCCAGCAGCCGCGGUAAGUC
rnacentral:rRNA from 1 species